rnacentral:rRNA from 1 species
GAUGAACGCUGGCGGCGUGCUUAACACAUGCAAGUCGAACGAUGAAGCCCAGCUUGCUGGGUGGAUUAGUGGCGAACGGGUGAGUAACACGUGAGUAACCUGCCCUUAACUCUGGGAUAAGCCUGGGAAACUGGGUCUAAUACCGGAUAGGAGCGUCCACCGCAUGGUGGGUGUUGGAAAGAUUUAUCGGUUUUGGAUGGACUCGCGGCCUAUCAGCUUGUUGGUGAGGUAAUGGCUCACCAAGGCGACGACGGGUAGCCGGCCUGAGAGGGUGACCGGCCACACUGGGACUGAGACACGGCCCAGACUCCUACGGGAGGCAGCAGUGGGGAAUAUUGCACAAUGGGCGAAAGCCUGAUGCAGCGACGCCGCGUGAGGGAUGACGGCCUUCGGGUUGUAAACCUCUUUCAGUAGGGAGGAAGCGAAAGUGACGGUACCUGCAGAAGAAGCACCGGCUAACUACGUG